rnacentral:rRNA from 1 species
UACGUAGGUGGCAAGCGUUGUCCGGAUUUAUUGGGUUUAAAGGGUGCGUAGGCGGCUUUGUAAGUCAGUGGUGAAAUAUCCAGGCUCAACCUGGAGGGGUUAUGCCAGACUGUGAGGCUAGAGUGCGAGAGAGGGGCGUGGAAUUCCGGGUGUAGUGGUGAAAUGCGUAGAGAUCCGGAGGAACCCCAGAGGCGAAGGCGGCGCCCUGGCUCGCAACUGACGCUCAGACACGACAGCAUGGGGAGCGAACGGG